rnacentral:rRNA from 1 species
GACGAACGCUAGCGGCGGGCUUAAUACAUGCAAGUCGAGGGGCAGCACGAUGUAGCAAUACAUUGGUGGCGACCGGCGGACGGGUGCGUAACACGUAUGCAACUUGCCCUAUACUGGGGGAUAGCCCGAAGAAAUUCGGAUUAAUACCCCAUAACAUCAGGAUCAGCAUUGGCCUUGGUUCAAAACUCCGGUGGUAUAGGAUGGGCAUGCGGUCGAUUAGCUUGUUGGUGAGGUAACGGCACACCAAGGCGACGAUCGAUAGGGGGCCUGAGAGGGUGAUCCCCCACACUGGUACUGAGACACGGACCAGACUCCUACGGGAGGCAGCAGUAAGGAAUAUUGGUCAAUGGGCGAAAGCCUGAACCAGCCACGCCGCGUGAAGGAAGACGGCCCUAUGGGUUGUAAACUUCUUUUCUACGGGAAUAAACCUCAGGACAUGUCCUGAGCUGAAGGUAUCGUAGGAAUAAGGAUCGGCUAACUCCGUGCCAGCCGCCGCAGUAACAC